AAUAUAUUUUAUAGAAAAAAAAUCCAAAUUGAACAAACCAAAAAGCAAAACGUAUUAGUACUACAAACUAGUACUAAUAAUAAAUUUUGAAAAUACUUUAUAAAUAGCUCUUACUAAUAUUUGAUAUUAAUUAAUAAAAAUCACUAAUAUUUAGUGACACUAUAUCAUCUUAAUACCUUGUAAUAAUUUAGUUAGUCUGCUAAUAGUAUCGACCAGUACAGAAAAUACAUAGAAGAAACUUCACGAAGUAAAGUUAAAAUAAACCGUUACUGGUCUGUGUAGCAUGACAAAGGUGAAAGCGGCUAAAAAAUAUCAGUUAUAAUGGAAAAUGAGAACACGAUUUUAAAUUUCAUAAUCAAUACACAUAUAUUUAUGCCAUCGAAAUCAGAAGAGAUUGUUCGAUAUUAUAUACUAUACAUAUACGAUUUAAAAAAUAAAAGAAAUCAUGUCGCAUUGUCUGUACUACUUUACGACGCCACAUGCAAAUAUCACACCGAGAAUAUCGCCGCUGCGCAAAACGAUCUGUACCAGCCGCGACCUUGACACUAACCUAGCACAACGGCCCACCAUUUAGACCAGGUUACGGAGGAAAUACUACGCAGGAAUCUCUUCCUUUGCACCGAAUGGAAAGUUAACAUAUAAUUUAACAAUAUCAUUCAAAGACUUCAGACUAUGGAAAAGUAGUUUAAAAGUGGCAGACACAACAGAUCUAUGUUUCAUUGAUGUUCCAUGAAAUUCAAAAUCUUCUUGGAAGAAUAAUUUAAAAUUGCUUUAACAGAGAAGACGUCGGAAUUUUCAAUUAAAUUUUACUCUAUAAAAAGGAUUUUUUUGAAUGAAAAUAUAAAUUGAACAAGUUUAAAAGGAGAUCGGACGCACCUUUAAGGAUUCGGGCAAAUAGCCAUCAAGGAAGUCCAAGAGUUUAGGUAGUUCUUCCUUGGCAA